GAGUUUGAUCCUGGCUCAGGACGAACGCUGGCGGCGCACCUAACACAUGCAAGUCGAACGGAGCUUAAAGAGCUUGCUUUUUAAGCUUAGUGGCGAACGGGUGAGUAACGCGUGAGUAACCUGCCCUAGAGUGGGGGACAACAGUUGGAAACGACUGCUAAUACCGCAUAAGCCCACGGGUCGGCAUCGACCAGAGGGAAAAGGAGCAAUCCGCUUUGAGAUGGCCUCGCGUCCGAUUAGCUAGUUGGUGAGGUAACGGCCCACCAAGGCAACGAUCGGUAGCCGGACUGAGAGGUUGAACGGCCACAUUGGGACUGAGACACGGCCCAGACUCCUACGGGAGGCAGCAGUGGGGAAUAUUGCACAAUGGGGGAAACCCUGAUGCAGCGACGCCGCGUGGAGGAAGAAGGUCUUCGGAUUGUAAACUCCUGUUGUUGAGGAAGAUAAUGACGGUACUCAACAAGGAAGUGACGGCUAACUACGUGCCAGCCGCCGCGGUAAUAC
rnacentral:rRNA from 1 species